rnacentral:rRNA from 1 species
AUUGAACGCUGGCGGCAUGCCUUACACAUGCAAGUCGAACGGCAGCACGGGUGCUUGCACCUGGUGGCGAGUGGCGAACGGGUGAGUAAUACAUCGGAACAUGUCCUGUAGUGGGGGAUAGCCCGGCGAAAGCCGGAUUAAUACCGCAUACGAUCUACGGAUGAAAGCGGGGGACCUUCGGGCCUCGCGCUAUAGGGUUGGCCGAUGGCUGAUUAGCUAGUUGGUGGGGUAAAGGCCUACCAAGGCGACGAUCAGUAGCUGGUCUGAGAGGACGACCAGCCACACUGGGACGGAGACACGGCCCAGACUCCUACGAGAGGCAGCAGUGGGGAAUGUUGGACAAUGGGCGAAAGCCUGAUCCAGCAAUGCCGCGUGUGUGAAGAAGGCCUUCGGGUUGUAAAGCACUUUUGUCCGGAAAGAAAUCCUUGGCCCUAAUACGGUCGGGGGAUGACGGUACCGGAAGAAUAAGCACCGGCUAACUACGUG